rnacentral:rRNA from 1 species
ACGUAGGUGGCAAGCGUUGUCCGGAUUUACUGGGUGUAAAGGGCGUGUAGGCGGAGAUGCAAGUCAGAAGUGAAAUCCAUGGGCUUAACCCAUGAACUGCUUUUGAAACUGUAUCCCUUGAGUAUCGGAGAGGCAGGCGGAAUUCCUAGUGUAGCGGUGAAAUGCGUAGAUAUUAGGAGGAACACCAGUGGCGAAGGCGGCCUGCUGGACGACAACUGACGCUGAGGCGCGAAAGCGUGGGGAGCAAACAG